rnacentral:rRNA from 1 species
ACGGCUCAGUAACACGUGGACAACCUACCCAAAGGUCUGGGAUAACUCCGGGAAACUGGGGAUAAUACCGGAUAGGUCAAGAGUACUGGAAGAGUUUUUUGAUUGAAAGCUCUGGCGCCUUUGGAUGGGUCUGCGGCUGAUUAGGUUGACGCCGGUGUAAAGUACCGGCGUGCCGAUUAUCAGUACGGGUUGUGGGAGCAAGAGCCCGGAGAUGGAUUCUGAGACACGAAUCCAGGCCCUACGGGGCGCAGCAGGCGCGAAAACUCUACAAUGCAGGCAACUGCGAUAGGGGAACAUCGAGUGGCAUCUACAUUAGGUGUCUGUCCAGCUGUCUAAAAAACGGCUGUUAGCAAGGGCCGGGCAAGACCGGUGCCAGCCGCCGCGGUAAUACCGGCGGCUCGAGUGGUGGCCGAUAUUAUUGAGUCUAAAGGGUCCGUAGCCGGCUUUGCAAGUCUUGUGGGAAAUCCAGCGGCUUAACCGUUGGGCGUCUGCGGGAUACUACAUUGCUUGGGACUGGGAGAGGUAGGAGGUACUCAGGGGGUAGGAGUGAAAUCCUGUAAUCCUCUGGGGACCACCGGUGGCGAAGGCGUCCUACCAGAACAGGUCCGACGGUGAGGGACGAAAGCUAGGGGCACGAACCGGAUUAGAUACCCAGGUAGUCCUAGCCGUAAACGAUGCCCGCUAGGUGUCACGGCAGUCGUGAACUGCCGUGGUGCCGUAGGGAAGCCGUGAAGCGGGCCACUUGGGAAGUACGACCGCAAGGUUGAAACUUAAAGGAAUUGGCGGGGGAGCAC